rnacentral:misc_RNA from 1 species
AUAAAGGGAGUGAAAUAUGUCAUGAGGUGUGACAGUGGACAGAUAGGACUGUGGAAGUUGACACAUGAACAAUAAGUGUCUCUCUUUGUAUAUAUAUACCAAGGGUUUGGUGGCACAUUUUGGGGUUCAUUUGUGUAAUAGUCAGCUGCCAUGGGGUUCAAGCACUUGGUGAUUGUUAGGUUUAAAGAAGAUACUGUGGUGGAGCAGAUUAUGAAAGGGUUGGAGAAGCUGGUUUCUGAGGUUGAUCUUGUCAAGACCUUUGCUUGGUGAGUCCUUAAUUAAUUACUUUGCUGGUUUCUUUGUUUAGUGGAACUCAAGUUUCCAUAUCAUUUUAAGGAGGCAACUGAGUAAUUAACCCUGCAAUAACCAGCAUGAUUUUCUUUAACAAUACCCAAUAUAUAUAAUCCAAAUACUCAAUUAAUAUAUUGUUUGCAUUUUUAAAUAGGGGAGAGGAUUUGGAAAGCCCAGAGAUGCUUACACAAGGCUUUACUCAUGCCAUCUCAAUGACUUUCGACAAGAAGCAAGACUACACUGCAUUUCAAACUCAUCCUAAUCAUGUCGAGUUUUCUGCUUCAUUUUCAGCUGCUAUUGAGAAAAUUGUUGUUCUUUGUUUCUCAUCUGUUCAGGUUAAACCAGCUAUUGCAUGAUCUAUGAGAUCUAGAAAUUAACAAUAAGAAAAUGGUAUUUGUGGUCUUAUGAUAUAUGUGUGUGUAUCAACUUAUGUGUGUUAGCUUUUGUAUGUAUAAAUAAGUGUUGGCGGCUAUUAUUUCCUGCAACUACAUCUCCAUGUAAUUUCAACAUCAACCCUUGUAUCAAGGAAAUGUUUUUAUUGUUGUAUGUUUAUCAUUUUGCUUUUUUUAUGAAUAGACAGGCCACCCUGUGAGAUUUGAUAUGUCUAUGAUUAUUAAUUUCCUGUUCUUUAUGAGAAAAUAAGUUCAAUCUUGUAAAUGAGAAUCUCGUAUGUGAAUGAG